UCUGGGGGUAAUGGCACGGGGACCCACCAGCUUGUCUGCCGCCAUCUGGGGUACAGUGCUGGAAGCGGGGAUACAGGGACAAAUAAGACACAGAUCCUGUUCCUAAAGAGAGAAACACAGAGGAGAGACCCAGAGAGAAGGAGAAGGCCGCAUGAAGAUGGAGCAGAGACUGGAGUUAUUCAGCCAAGUCAAGGAAUGCCUGGAGCACCAGAAGCCGGAAGAGGCAAGGAAGGAUCCUCCCUUAGAGCAUUUGGAAGAGUGUGGCCCUGCCAACACCUUGACUUCAAACUUCUGGCCUCCAUAACUAUGAAAUAAAUUCUUGUUGUUUUAAGCCACCAAGUUUGUGGUAACUUCUUACAGCAACCCUAGGAAAUUAACACACAGAGUGUCAGUUACCUAAACAUUGUGAGCCUCAGUUACCUUAUCUGAAAAUGGGGCUAAAACUUAGACCUACCUUUUAGGGCUGCUUUAAGGAGUAAUAGAAAUUAUACAUGGGAAUUACAUGGCACCAAGUUGUUCCUUAAUAGAGGGAAACUGUUAUGAUGGCGGAAGAGCAGUAAUGAAAUACUGAAUUCAUCCAGCAGAUGGCAGAAGAUGGAUUUGCAAACAAGAGGACUUCAUAAGGUUUGCUGCCCAGCAAUGCAGCUCCAGGCCUAAAGUAGCCUUCCUAGCUCACAGACUGAUGAGGAUUAACCCUCGCCAACUCAAGUGUGCUCUCAGCUCUGUAGAAACUAAACUAAUUCUGUUUUCCUUUGACCAUUGUACACCACAGAGGCUGGCAAUGGAGAAUAUAAAGAGUGGUGCAACAGAAAAUACCUGGGUUCUAGGCUCAGCUCUGUCACCUCAUUAGGAUUCAGUUUGCCCAUCUGUAAAGUAGUGACAAGAUGAAAUACCAAGUGUAACGUAAUUAAAGGGCUGUUGUGAUACCAAAAUAACAUAAUGUGUAAAAGUGCUAAAAACAAGAUGCCAUAAAGCACAGAAGGGGCCCAGGAGAGAUUAAUUCAUGGAGAACUUACUCGUUUUUUUGAGACAGAGUCUCACUGUGUUGCUCAGGCUGCAGUGCAGUGGCGCGAUCUCAGCUAACUGCAAUGUCUGCCUCCUGGGUUCAAGUGAUUCUUGUGCCUCAGCCUCCUGAGUAGCUGAGACUACAGGUGCACGCCACCAAGCCUGGCUAACAUUUUUUGUAUUUUUAGUAGAGAUGGGGAUUUCACCAUGUUGGCCAGGCUGUUCUCAAACUCCUGUCCUCAAGAGAUCCGCCCACCUUGGCCUCCCAAAGUGCUGGGAUUACAGGCAUGAGCCACUGUGCCUGGCCUAAUUAAUGGAUAACUUCUGCAAGAAUCCAGGGUCACGGUUGAUUUGUUUAUUCAUUUAUUCACUCAGCAAACAUUUCUUUGUGCCAGGCAUUGUGCUAGGUCCAGGGAAUACUGCUUACGUUGGAGAAGUUCGCAUUCUAGUUUGGGUGGACAAACAUGUGAUAAAGAUGUGUACAGGGCAUAGUUUUCUCUCAGCAGCUAGGGUAACAUUCCAACUCCAUGUUUUGGUUUAAGAAACACAUUUGAUUUUAUUUAAAAUAUUAUAUAUUUUCUCUUUUAUUUCUUUUCCCUAUUUACAAUAAGGCUUACUUGCAAAAUUAAGAAAUACAUUUGAGUGGGUAGUUCCCUUGGUAAAACAUUUAUAUUUCCUUCUUAAUUUCUUUGUAAAAGUCUACUCUUAAACACUACUAUUUAGAGUUAAGUGAGAAAAGAAAAUUGCAGGACAGAAUGCACAGAAAGAUCUAUUUAUCUAUCUACAUAAAAACUGGAAGAAUACACUCCCAUACUGUUAACAGUGGCUACCUCUAGGGAAAGGGUGAAGUGAUAUUUGAAAAAAUGGGGCUUUUACCUUUUCUUUUCUUUCCUUUU
rnacentral:lncRNA from 10 species